CAAUGUGUACCAAAGAACUUGGGAGGCAUGUGGUUCCGGGAUAUGCAAUCAUUUAAUUUGUCCAUGCUAGCGAAACAAUGUUGGAGAUUGAUCACUUUCCCAGAAUCUCUUUGUUCUCAAGUCCUUCAGUCUAAAUAUUAUCGUGAUGGUAUUUUGUUACAAGCUGGACGAAAGAAAGGGGCCGCAUUUACUUGGCGGAGUCUUUUAGCCGGACUGCAAACAUUCAAGAGGGGAUACUUGGAGAAUUGGAGAUGGCAACAAUGUUAA
rnacentral:rRNA from 1 species